rnacentral:rRNA from 1 species
CCUACGGGUGGCAGCAGUGAGGAAUAUUGGUCAAUGGGCGUAAGCCUGAACCAGCCAAGUCGCGUGAGGGAUGACGGUCCUAUGGAUCGUAAACCUCUUUUAUAAGGGAAUAAAGUGCGGGACGUGUCCCGCUUUGUAUGUACCUUAUGAAUAAGGAUCGGCUAACUCCGUGCCAGCAGCCGCGGUAAUACGGAGGAUCCGAGCGUUAUCCGGAUUUAUUGGGUUUAAAGGGUGCGUAGGCGGCCUGUCAAGUCAGCGGUUAAAUUCGGGGGCUCAACCAGAGAAUUGCCGUUGAACCUGGGAGGCUUGAGUAUGCGUGAGGCAGGCGGAAUGCGUGGUGGAGCGGUGAAAUGCUUAGAUAUCACGCAGAACCCCGAUUGCGAAGGCAGCGUGCCAGGGCAUGACUGACGCUGAUGCACGAAAGCGUGGGGAUCGAACAGGAUUAGAUACCCGAGUAGUC